AUUGAACGCUGGCGGCAUGCCUUACACAUGCAAGUCGAACGGCAGCACGGGAGCAAUCCUGGUGGCGAGUGGCGAACGGGUGAGUAAUAUAUCGGAACGUGCCCAGUCGUGGGGGAUAACGCAGCGAAAGCUGUGCUAAUACCGCAUACGAUCUACGGAUGAAAGCGGGGGAUCGCAAGACCUCGCGCGAUUGGAGCGGCCGAUAUCAGAUUAGCUAGUUGGGGGGGUAAAAGCCCACCAAGGCGACGAUCUGUAGCUGGUCUGAGAGGACGACCAGCCACACUGGAACUGAGACCCGGUCCAGACUCCUACGGGAGGCAGCAGUGGGGAAUUUUGGACAAUGGGCGCAAGCCUGAUCCAGCAAUGCCGCGUGCAGGAUGAAGGCCUUCGGGUUGUAAACUGCUUUUGUACGGAACGAAACGGCGAGCUCUAAUACAGUUUGCUAAUGACGGUACCGUAAGAAUAAGCACCGGCUAACUACGUGCCAGCCGCCGCAGUAA
rnacentral:rRNA from 1 species